CAUGAACCGCCCACUGCUCAUUGCUGGCUUGUCUCACGUUCGAUAUCCGAUCACCAUUCUUAAAUAGCUCACCCCAUAUGGAAAUCAGGUUUCAGGAGGCCACUAGGCUUGUGGGGCCUGGUCUCAAUGAGCUCCCAGUGCUAAGGACAGUCAGGCUCAUAUGCUGGGCGCAAGCUUUGGAUGAACUUCUGCUUCUGCGGUCGGCAUUCUUACAGGAGAACCCAAGAUUCAUUGUACCUACCUGUAUGCAUUUCAAAACUGAAUAAUUGAUAGCAACAAGUAAAUAUUUGAAGUUGCAGCCAAAUGCUGUGCCUUCUCUGCUGCAAGAGCUACAUGUCACCAUUGAAGCAAGGACCAGCUCGACUCCUGCAGUAGGAGUCCAGCCUCGUCCAGUCGUCGCCGCUCGCCAAG